rnacentral:rRNA from 1 species
UACGUAGGGGGCAAGCGUUAUCCGGAUUUACUGGGUGUAAAGGGAGCGUAGACGGCAGUGCAAGUCUGGAGUGAAAGGCGGGGGCUCAACCCCCGGACUGCUCUGGAAACUGUACGGCUGGAGUGCAGGAGAGGUAAGUGGAAUUCCUAGUGUAGCGGCGAAAUGCGUAGAUAUUAGGAGGAACACCAGUGGCGAAGGCGGCUUACUGGACUGUAACUGACGUUGAGGCUCGAAAGCGUGGGGAGCAAACAGG